rnacentral:ncRNA from 2 species
AGGAGCCGUGUAAGCUGAAAGGUUUACGCACGGUUUUGAAGACGAGCGAUGCUCGUGAGAGCAUCGCUUAGUUUAAU